AGCGAACGCUGGCGGCAGGCCUAACACAUGCAAGUCGAACGAACCUUUCGGGGUUAGUGGCGGACGGGUGGGUAACACGUGGGAACAUGCCUUUAGGUUCGGAAUAACUCAGGGAAACUUGUGCUAAUACCGAAUGUGCCCUUCGGGGGGAAGAUUCAUCGCCUUUAGAGCGGCCCGCGUCUGAUUAGCUAGUUGGUUGAGGUAAUGGCUCACCAAGGCGACGAUCAGUAGCUGGUCUGAGAGGAUGAUCAGCCACAUUGGGACUGGGACACGGCCCAAACUCCUACGGGAGGCAGCAGUGGGGAAGCUUGCGCAAGGGGCGAAAGCCUGACGCAGCCAUGCCGCGUGAAUGAUGAAGGUCUUAGGAUUGUAAAAUUCUUUCACCGGGGACGAUAAUGACGGUACCCGGAGAAGAAGCCCCGGCUAACUGCGG
rnacentral:rRNA from 1 species